UACGUAGGGUGCGAGCGUUAAUCGGAAUUACUGGGCGUAAAGCGUGCGCAGGCGGCUUUGCAAGACAGAUGUGAAAUCCCCGGGCUUAACCUGGGAACUGCAUUUGUGACUGCAUAGCUGGAGUACGGCAGAGGGGGAUGGAAUUCCGCGUGUAGCAGUGAAAUGCGUAGAGAUGCGGAGGAACACCGAUGGCGAAGGCAGCCCCCCUGGGCUAACACUGACGCUCAGGCACGAAAGCGUGGGGAGCAAACAGG
rnacentral:rRNA from 1 species